rnacentral:rRNA from 1 species
UUUACUCACCACUCCUUGUUUCUCCCGCCUAUAUACCGCCGUCGCCAGCCUACCCUUUAAAGGUCCUAAAGUAGGCAAAAUUAGUAUUUCUAAAAACGUCAGGUCGAGGUGUAGCGAAUGGAGUGGGAAGAGAUGGGCUACAUUCUCUGGAUCAGAGAAUAACGGAGAGAGCUCUGAAACGAGUUCCUGAAGGAGGAUUUAGCAGUAAGCACAAGAACAGAGAGCUUGGCUGAAAUCGGCUCUGAAGCGCGUACACACCGCCCGUCACUCUCCCCGAACACCUUUUUAUUUCUACCUAAAAACUUUUGAUUUUAAGGGGAGGCAAGUCGUAACAUGGUAAGUGUACCGGAAGGUGCACUUGGAAAAA